rnacentral:rRNA from 1 species
UACGUAGGGACCGAGCGUUAUCCGGAUUCAUUGGGCGUAAAGAGCUCGUAGGCGGCUAUUCAAGUCGAACGUGAAAUCUCGGAGCUCAACUCCGAGCCUGCGUUCGAUACUGGGUAGCUAGAGUCUGGUAGGGGGAUCUGGAAUUCCCGGUGUAGUGGUGAUAUGCGUAGAUAUCGGGAGGAACACCUGUGGCGAAGGCGGCUUUCUGGGCCCUACCUGACGCUGAGACGCGAAAGCGUGGGGAGCGAACCGG